UUCUUAAUGUAGCCAAGCGCCGGUGACAAGCCCGACAGAAUACAGAGUCAAGAA
rnacentral:ribozyme from 2 species